UUUUGUUGCAGUUACCUGAGAAACUAGUGCUACUUAAGAAACUYUGAGUAACGAAAAAAAAAGCAUUAGUGAGCGACACUACUGGUUUUUGAGAUCUUUCUGUUCUUCAGACACUAGUCUAUGAAUAUUGAAAGAAGAAAGAACCAUUAUAAGGGUUGGCGGAAAUUAAAAAUCCCACUGGCCCAGCCUUGAUAAGAGCAGGAAACARGAGAAAAGUGU